CUUUUACCUUUUUAAUCAGGCCAGGAGGAACCAAGGCACAAAACUCUUCACGGGAGCAGGAUGAAAACUUGCACAUCAGCAAGGAGCUCCAGUACUCUGAGACAGAAAGGGCCUUGCCAGGAACAGCCUGAGAGGGCCCAAAAUCGGCCUCCACUGCAGGAAUUAGAGCUCUGCAUUCACUUAAGUGGAUCACAAAAGCUGCCAGUCCCAAAAUGUGAGCGGCACCGAGGGAAGGACCCUGCGAGGCAAAAAACGUGAAGAGCAGGAAAGAUAUUUUUGGUAACUUUGUAAUAUUUCAUUGGUAAAAUUCUUACCUUUUGA